rnacentral:lncRNA from 10 species
AGCUCACUGCAGCCGUGGUCUCCUGUGCUCAAGCAAUCUUCCCACCUCAGCCUCCUGAGUAGCUGGGUCCACAGGCACGUGACAUCACACCCGGCAAUUUUUUUUUUUUUUAAGUAGAGACAAGGUCUCAAUAUAUUGCUCAGGGUGGUCUUGAACUCCUGAGCUCAAGCAAUCCUCCUACUUGACUGGGAUUACAGGUGUGAGCCACGUAGCCUAGCCAUCUAUCUAUAUAUACUGUAUUGUAGUGUAUAUAAUUAAUCUAAAGUCUCCCUGAUUUCUCUGUUUCCUGAGUUUGGUAUCUCUGUUUUAAGGUUGUGUUUUUCCUCAAAUAUUUUUUGAUUCCUGGAUGUGCGACUGUCUUUUGUAUUUGAGCAUCCUUGUUAGCUUUCACAGAAGACCUUGACAAUGGGCUAGUCAUAGGUAUUGCUCACUUCUUGCUUCCUAAAGAGCAGAAAGUUAAUUCAGUUUGGGCAAUUGCAUGUUCAGCCAGCUCAGGUAACAAAUCAUGAUUGUUCUAAAUCAAUUGUUGUAAUUCCAAUUCCGUUUUUUUUCCAGCCUCUCUUGCAGCAGGGCUGAUGUGUGACAAAGUUCUGGCCAAUGAGAUGUAAGUGGAAGCCUACUCAGGAAUUUCUGGGAAAACUUUUACUUUAUCAUAAAAGGGACACUUUUAUGAGUGAAAACUCAGUGACACCACAUCUUUCCCUUCUUCCUUCGACAUGAUGUUGUGUCCGGAGUUGGUUCCUUCCAGUGGGUUUGUGGUCUGGCUGACUUGAAGAAUGCAGCAGCAGACCUUUGCGGCACUGAAACUCAAGCGAAUGGUGGAAGAAGGAUUGGGACCAUAUAGGAACACUUUUCAGAGAAAUAAAGAAGCAAAAAAGUCAGACCGAAAUUCUGAUGUAUUUCUGCAAGUUGCACUGAGUGUGCCUGCCUGUCCUGCCUCCCCUUCCACCUCUUCCACCUUUGCCACCCCUGAGACAGCAAGACCAACCCUCCUCUUCCUCCUCCUCGGCCUAAUCAAUGUGAAGAUGACAAGGAUGAAGAACUUUAUGAUGAUUUACUUAAUAAAUGAAAUAUUAUGUACAUAAAGAAGCAGGCC